AUACGGAGGAUCCGAGCGUUAUCCGGAUUUAUUGGGUUUAAAGGGUGCGCAGGCGGCCAUUUAAGUCAGCGGUUAAAUCGUGGGGCUCAACCCCAUUCUGCCGUUGAUACUGGGUGGCUUGAUUGCGGUCGAGGUUUGCGGAAUUCGUUGUGUAGCGGUGAAAUGCAUAGAUAUGACGAAGAACACCGAUUGCGUAGGCAGCUGACCAGAUCGCAAAUGACGCUCAUGCACGAAAGUGCGGGGAUCGAACAGGAUUAGAUACCCUGGUAGUCCGCACAGUAAACGAUGAAUACUUGUUUUCGGCGAUAUAAUGUCGGAGGCAAAGCGAAAGCGAUAAGUAUUCCACCUGGGGAGUACGCCGGCAACGGUGAAACUCAAAUGAAUUGACGGGG
rnacentral:rRNA from 1 species